rnacentral:tRNA from 1 species
AAUAAAUCCAUAUUUAAAGUAAAGCUAAAUGUUAAUUAUAAGAAUUUGGGUGAUGUUUAUUA